rnacentral:rRNA from 1 species
GACGAACGCUGGCGGCGUGCUUAACACAUGCAAGUCGAACGGAAAGGCCCUGCUUUUGUGGGGUGCUCGAGUGGCGAACGGGUGAGUAACACGUGAGUAACCUGCCCUUGACUUUGGGAUAACUUCAGGAAACUGGGGCUAAUACCGGAUAGGAGCUCCUGCUGCAUGGUGGGGGUUGGAAAGUUUCGGCGGUUGGGGAUGGACUCGCGGCUUAUCAGCUUGUUGGUGGGGUAGUGGCUUACCAAGGCUUUGACGGGUAGCCGGCCUGAGAGGGUGACCGGCCACAUUGGGACUGAGAUACGGCCCAGACUCCUACGGGAGGCAGCAGUGGGGAAUAUUGCACAAUGGGCGGAAGCCUGAUGCAGAAACGCCGCGUGCGGGAUGAAGGCCUUCGGGUUGUAAACCGCUUUCGCCUGUGACGAAGCGUGAGUGACGGUAAUGGGUAAAGAAGCACCGGCUAACUACGUG